UACGUAGGGUGCGAGCGUUAAUCGGAAUUACUGGGCGUAAAGCGCGCGUAGGCGGCCAUUCAAGUCAGAGGUGAAAGCCCGGAGCUUAACUCCGGAACUGCCUUUGAAACUGUAUGGCUUGAGUGUCGGAGGGGAUAGCGGAAUUGCUAAUGUAGAGGUGAAAUUCGUAGAUAUUAGCAGGAACACCGGUGGCGAAGGCGGCUAUCUGGACGACAACUGACGCUGAGGCGCGAAAAGCGUGGGGGAUCAAACA
rnacentral:rRNA from 1 species